UUGGGCGAGGAAGGGGGAGGAGGCGUGGGGGAGGCCGGCUCACAAACCUUGCCUGGUGUCCCCCCUGCUGGCCCUAGGAGGAAACGUAAACCAGCUUCCUGCCUUCCCGGACAGGCAGGAGUCAGGCAGGAAUGAUCCUCUCAAUAAUUUUCCUGCUUUUGACACAUGCUGUUCCCUCUUCCUGGGAUGCCCUUCGCCAGAAUGGGUGUGUGGCCAGCUCUCAUCAUUCAGUUCCCAGCUCAAAGUCACCUCCACAGACAGUCAUUGUUCACGAAAAUUACACGGGGCAGGUGCAUGGCUGCGAUGCUGAACUGUCAUUCUACUUGACGGGGGAAGGGAGAAGUUUCUUCUGUGGUCUGCAUUGAGGAAUUGCCAAGGCCUGAAAAUCUCUCUGUGCCAAAGUCAAACUGGAUGCUCUUGAUUUGUGAUGCAGAUGUUCUAAUACUGGAGUUGACAAGUGCUCCACACUAAGUUGUUGUUGUUGUUGUUGUUGUUGUUGUUGUUGUUUUGCCUAUUUGC